CUCAUUUUAAAUUGUGAGGAGGUAUAUACAGAGGGUUUGCACAGAAGUAGUAGCACUGAGGCUUGUAGAGAAGUAGAGGGAAUCACCUGCAGCAGAAUCAACCAGCAGAAGCAGCAAGAGAGCGGCACUUGGCAACAGCAGAAUGAAGAAACAUUGGCAGAAUGGCUUCCCUUGACCAGCAGGCUGGUAUUGGACCCUUAGUUGUGUGUGUGCUGUUCCCUUGCACACUGGUAAAAUUAAGAACUUUCCACAAUAGUCUUGAUGAUGAGAGCUAUCUGAAUAGAAAAGAUCAAAAAGAACACUGAGAUGAAAUGAAACAGAUAAGGAGACAAGGGGUCAAAAAGAGGGAAGAACUGGAGAGAGGAAGUUGGUCUGGAAGGCGAACAAAGGAGAGGGCAGCGCUGUCACAGUCUUGCCCUGCUUCCAGGUCUCUGGCUGGCUUAACGAGGUGCUUCCAGCCCCGACUAUUGUGCUGCACGAAAAGGGAAGAAAGGGACGGUACCAAUAUUAGCAAACUGCGAGACUCAGCAGCAGCAGCAAUAGCAGCAGCAGCACCACCAAUCUACAGACAUGGUUUCAAGUGGAUAUGUGCCUUUGGAAGUCUUUUCCUGAAAGAAAGCAUCAAUCACUGGAAGAUUGUGGUAGGGCUAGUGAAGUUAGAUGGGGCUUUUCUUCACGGCUGCUCAACUUCGGGUCUGGAGGCAAGUGCCGUCAGUUGGGCUAUCACGGUGUUUGGCGGCGGUGAUUUUUAAGGCAGUCAUUUCCUCUAAUCAGAUGGAAGCUCGGAUCAAUUCCCCUCCAUCCACCCACCCCUUUUACCUUUGUUUUAUGGGGGUGGGUUUCCCCCUCUCCCUCCUCCCCCUCCUCUUUGUCCGGUCUGAAUCGUGCAUUUUUGCUCGGGGCUUUCAUUGUACAGUUAAAUGUAUUUCUGAUUGGUUAACGGUCUCUCCUUUUUGUUGUGAUUACUAGAGAUACUUUAGUCCUGCCUUUCCCAGUGGUGCGCCCUGUACUAGCAGUUUUGAAAAAUCAUAAAUGCAAAAAAGCAUGACAAAGCAAUAUGAGGU